AACAGAAAAAGGCAAACCAUCUGAAAGGGUGGGACGCAAAGCUUACGGGUCUAAGGCCAAUAAAGAGAUAGGGGAGCUAAGACGGCUGAGCCGCCUGA
rnacentral:ncRNA from 1 species